rnacentral:tRNA from 1 species
GCCUGAGUGGUGUAGUGGUUUGAGUGUUGGACUAGGACUCUGGAGAACAGGGUUCAAAUCCUGGCUUAGCCG